rnacentral:rRNA from 1 species
UGGGGAAUUUUGGACAAUGGGCGCAAGCCUGAUCCAGCCAUGCCGCGUGCGGGAAGAAGGCCUUCGGGUUGUAAACCGCUUUUGUCAGGGAAGAAAUCUUCUGAGUUAAUACCUCGGGAGGAUGACGGUACCUGAAGAAUAAGCACCGGCUAACUACGUGCCAGCAGCCGCGGUAAUACGUAGGGUGCAAGCGUUAAUCGGAAUUACUGGGCGUAAAGCGUGCGCAGGCGGCUUUGUAAGACAGAGGUGAAAUCCCCGGGCUCAACCUGGGAACUGCCUUUGUGACUGCAAGGCUUGAGUGCGGCAGAGGGGGGAUGGAAUUCCCGCGUGUAGCAGUGAAAUGCGUAGAUAUGCGGAGGAACACCGAUGGCGAAGGCAAUCCCCUGGGCCUGCACUGACGCUCAUGCACGAAAGCGUGGGGAGCAAACAGGAUUAGAUACCCUGGUAGUCCACGCCCUAAACGAUGUCAACUGGUUGUUGGGAAGGUUCCUUCUCAGUAACGUAGCUAACGCGUGAAGUUG